rfam:Schistosoma curassoni strain Dakar, Senegal genome assembly, scaffold: SCTD_scaffold0005677
AUCCAGCUGAUGAGUCCCAAAAAUAGGACGAAAUCCGAGUUCUGCAU